rnacentral:rRNA from 1 species
AAUAGAUACCCGGGUAGUCCACCCCGUAAACGUUGGGAACUAGUUGUGGGGUCCUUUCCACGGAUUCCGUGACGCAGCUAACGCAUUAAGUUCCCCGCCUGGGGAGUACGGCCGCAAGGCUAAAACUCAAAGGAAUUGACGGGGACCCGCACAAGCGGCGGAGCAUGCGGAUUAAUUCGAUGCAACGCGAAGAACCUUACCAAGGCUUGACAUACACCGGAAACGGCCAGAGAUGGUCGCCCCGCAAGGUCGGUGUACAGGUGGUGCAUGGUUGUCGUCAGCUCGUGUCGUGAGAUGUUGGGUUAAGUCCCGCAACGAGCGCAACCCUCGUUCUAUGUUGCCAGCACGUCAUGGUGGGAACUCAUGGGAUACUGCCGGGGUCAACUCGGAGGAAGGUGGGGAUGACGUCAAAUCAUCAUGCCCCUUAUGUCUUGGGCUUCACGCAUGCUACAAUGGCCGGUACAAAGGGCUGCAAUACCGUGAGGUGGAGCGAAUCCCAAAAAGCCGGUCCAGUUCGGAUUGAGGUCUGCAACUCGACCUCA